rnacentral:rRNA from 1 species
GCUUAACACAUGCAAGUGGAGCGACGAACCGGGGCUUGCCCCGGGGCAGAGCCGCGAACGGGUGAGUAACACGUGGGUAACCUGCCUCAAUGAUUGGGACAACCCGGGGAAACUCGGGCUAAUACCAAAUGUGUUCACUCCUUCUAAGGGGAGUGAGGAAGGGAAGCUUCGGCCUCCGCAUUGAGAUGGGCCCGCGGCCCAUUAGCUUGUUGGUGAGGUAACGGCUCACCAAGGCUUCGAUGGGUAGCUGGUCUGAGAGGACGAUCAGCCACACUGGGACUGAGACACGGCCCAGACUCCUACGGGAGGCAGCAGUGGGGAAUCUUGCACAAUGCGCGAAAGCGUGAUGCAGCAACGCCGCGUGGGGGAAGACGGCCUUCGGGUUGUAAACCCCUUUCAGUUGGGACGAAGCUUCGUCGGUGAAUAGCCGGUUGGAGUGACGGUACCUUCAGAAGAAGCCCCGGCUAACUACGUG